UGCUCGCUGCGGUGUGGAGUUAAACAAGGACAGGCAGACAUUCGGUUUGUAUGUUUCAUUAUUUCUCUAAACAUUAAUUCGUCUAUCGAAGCAACAGAUUAAACAAAUAACUGCUGUUGCC
rnacentral:lncRNA from 1 species